rnacentral:rRNA from 1 species
UACGUAGGGCGCAAGCGUUGUCCGGAAUUAUUGGGCGUAAAGAGCUCGUAGGUGGUUUGUCGCGUCGGGAGUGAAAUCCACUGGCUUAACUGGUGGCUUGCUUUCGAUACGGGCAGACUGGAGGUAUGCAGGGGAGAACGGAAUUCCUGGUGUAGCGGUGAAAUGCGCAGAUAUCAGGAGGAACACCGGUGGCGAAGGCGGUUCUCUGGACCGAGACUGACGCUGAGGCGCGAAAGCGUGGGGAGCAAACAGG